rnacentral:tRNA from 1 species
GCCGCUGUAGCUCAGUCGGUAGAGCGAGGCAUUCGUAAUGCCUAGGUCGCGAGUUCGAGUCUCGCCGGCGGCU